UACGUAGGGUCCGAGCGUUGUCCGGAAUUAUUGGGCGUAAAGAGCGUGUAGGCGGCCAGGUAGGUCUGGUGUGAAAACUCGAGGCUUAACCUCGAGAUGUCAUCGGAAACCAUUUGACUAGAGUCCGGAAGAGGAAAGUGGAAUUCCUGGUGUAGCGGUGAAAUGCGCAGAUAUCAGGAGGAACACCGGUGGCGAAGGCGGAUCUCUGGGCCAUUACUGACGCUGAGGAGCGAAAGCGUGGGGAGCGAACAGG
rnacentral:rRNA from 1 species